rnacentral:rRNA from 1 species
GACGAACGCUGGCGGCGUGCUUAACACAUGCAAGUCGUACGGUAAGGCCCUUUCGGGGGUCCACGAGUGGCGAACGGGUGAGUAACACGUGCGUAACCUUCCCACAACUUUGGGAUAACGCUAGGAAACUGGUGCUAAUACUGGAAAUGUGCUCCUUCUGCAUGGUGGGGGUUGGAAAGCUCCGGCGGUUGUGGAUGGACUCGCGGCCUAUCAGCUAGUUGGUGGGGUAGUGGCCUACCAAGGCGGCGACGGGUAGCCGGGCUGCGAGGGGGACCGGCCACAAGGGAGUUGAGAGACGGUCGUGACUCCUACGGGAGGCAGAAGUAGGGAAGGUUGCGCAAUGGGCGAAAGAUUGACGGAGCGACGCAGCGUGAGUGAAGAAGGCCGUCGGGUGGGAAAACGCUGUUAUGAGGGAAGAACAAAUGCGUAAGUAACUAGGCUUGUCGUGACGGUACCUAAAAAGAAAGCCCCGGCUAACUACGUG